UCUCCGGCCUUUAUUAUGCGUGGCCUUUUUUACAUUAUGCAAAUUCUCUCACUGCCUCCCAAAUUCAAAUAACAGGCUUCUUGGUAAUUUAACUUCACUGCAGCUGAGGAGAAAGGCAGCCUCCAUUCCAGCAUUAUUGUUUUUCAUUCCUAUUAUUACUUUUCUCCUCUCAGGAUAAAAUAAAUUAAUAAUGAUGCUGCUCUUGGUCCCCCUCUUCCUCUUGGUCCUGCUCCCAGGUAAGUAUCUCCUAAAACAUUCUCCAACCCCUCCACAUUCAAAUGAACUAUCCUGAAUAUUAGAUAAGAUACUUAAUGGUAUAACAAUUCCCAUGACCCAUGUGUUUUGGAUUAAACGAGCAAUGAUAAAACUGUGCAAGAAAUAGCCUUAAAGUUCUGGCUGGGCCAACUGCUUAACUCUGGUUUUCCUUUUCUUUCCCUCCCCCCCCCCAAAUCCCUUCAGGUGUUUUCUCACAGGUCACAUUGAAGGAAUCUGGACAAGGAACAGUGAGACCAGGAGAGACCCUCGAACUGACCUGUACAGUCACUGGGCGCUCUGUGACAAACAGCUAUUGGUGGAACUGGGUACGACAGAGCUCUGGGAAAGGGCUUGAAUGGAUGGGAGCAUGGAGUGGGAGCACAUACUAUGCAGCAUCUCUCAGCGGCCGAAUCACCAUCUCUGUGGAUUCUUCCCGAACCAAGUACUUUCUGAGGCUGAGCUCUGUGACAGCUGAAGACACAGCCAUGUAUUACUGUUCAACAGGC